CUCAGCAUACACACACACGCACACAACACACACCUUCACAUACGCACUCACACUCACACUCAAGCACACCCUCUCUUCCUCUCAGCCUUCCCGCCGCCGCCGCCUGACGACGGCGCCAUCCGGCGCCUCUCCUCUCUUUCCCAGCCUAUCUCUCUCUCCCAGCCUCCCUCUCUCUGACUCCUCAACCUCUCUCCCGACCCCUCUCAUCCUCUCGGCCAGACGGCCACGACGCCGCUCCCCCAGCCAGCCAUCACCGCCGCUACGACCGACGCCGUCUCCUCCAGCCCGGCGUGGUCUCCUUCUUUCUUCGACUGGAAGCAACGGGUGCCGCCGCCAUCACCUCGACGGACA
rnacentral:lncRNA from 1 species